rnacentral:lncRNA from 1 species
AAAACAUGUUCAGCACUUUCUGGUACAAUAUUCUCAAAGAACCAGGAUACAUCUUAUUUCUCAAAAUGAAACAAAAAUGUAUUAGACAUUACCCCUGUGAUUUCAAGCCCACAGUCUGUCACUUUGAAGUAUUUGUAUCCUUUUACAAAAGAAAAGCCAAAUGAAGAUCUCCCUGAAAAAAUAUUUUAAUAGAAUAUGUCUUUAUUUCAGUAUCUUAAACAGUGAAGAUGGAGAAAUAUUCAAUAAUGAAGAGCAUGAAUAUGCAUCCAAAAAAAGGAAAAAGGACCAUUUUAGAAAUGACACAAAUACUCAAAAGCAGACCACAAAGAGCAUGUCUGGACCUAGAACCACAGCAGGUAACCUCGGAAGCAGUGAGACACCAGCCAGCAUGGACAAGCAGCAGGCACUUGCUCUAUACCAGUGGCAUGGCUAUUGCACCUUGGGAGAAGCCUUUAAUCGGUUAGACUUCUCAAGUGCAAUUCAAGAUAUCCGAAGGUUCAAUUAUGUGGUCAAAGUGCUGUUGUAGGAGCAAGGGAUACAAUGAUGAUCAAGGCAGAUGCAGCCGUUACCUUCAGGUCGUGGAGUCCGGAUACAGACUGGAGGCAGGCAGCUGUAAGAUGUGUGACAAAUGCUGCGCUGGAUCAGCCCAUGGUAUUAGGAGAGCAGGUAAGGAAGGGUGGGGACGGGAGCGGACAACCUGGAGGAAGAGGCACCUAAGCAGAGUCCAGAAGGCUGAGGAGGAGUCAGCAGGUGAAAGAGAGGGGAAUCAUGGCAUACCAUCUCAACUGUAGGGCACGGCUAGCUGGCUGACUUAGCUGCUGUAACACCGGAUUUUUGCAAGACUCCCUGAGUAUUUCUCGUGGAUUUGCGAACAAAUCUGAGCAAGAAAACCAUGUAAUUUCUUUUAUGCCCUGCCCAAGAAAGCCACCUGGAGGGGCAAGGGGACCUUAGCAGAAAGAAGCUGGAGGUGGGGGGAGAGCAGGGUG